GGGGGGGGGCGCGUGGGAGCCGUGCGCGCGCGCGCGCGCGUCUCCUGGCAAACCGGCGCAGAUUGCAAGCUGAGACGCGCGCGCAGGGUCGGGGGAGGACGGAGACGGCCAUCUAAGGUCUCAGCUAAGCCCCGGGCCGCCGAGACGCACGAUCUCCUCCUAGGGCUCUUCGCGGCCUCCUGACCGAGUCCGGCCCUUGGUCCGCCCGCCUGGCUCUGGACUGUCGGCACUGCCUGGCAGCGGCUCUCCCAGGUUCCAGGGGCUCAGCAGUCUCUCCCAGCCCUCCCUGGAGGAGAUGCUGCCAGCCAGGGACUGAAUCUGGGAGCUGCACCUGCUGCCUGCUGCGCAGAGGCUCUGGUCCUGAGCCCCAUAGUGCUGCUUAGUCAGGAGGACCGACGCAUGGCCUGGGUCCUGCCCCCACCAUUCACCAUCCCUGCGCCCAUCUGACCUACUUGCGUUUGACAAGUUCAGGACAGACAAAAAGACUUCUCUGCACAUCACAAAUCUGUGGUAUUCGCGGCCUUCAGAGAUGCUGCAAGCAUCGGACCUGUCCAUGAAGGACAAGCCCAUCAAAGGCUAUUCCCCGUCCGAUGGUGAAAUGGAACCUCCAUGGACGGGUGCAGUCUACCCCAGCGGCCAAGGUGGGGAAACACCAUUGUGCUUGUCUUCCAGGUGUCUGUGGCCCCCACCCCGCCGUGAGCCCAGCGCUCUCCAGUGAACAGGGCCGGUGGAAGAUGAUGGACCCGGAGAUCUCCCUCCUCUUCCAGAGCCCCUCUCCGGCGGGCAUCGCGGAGUCCCAGGCCCAGGCGGAGCUCUCCCCGCUGUAUGACCGGCACCCGCUGCCCGGGGACCAGGCCCAGAUCGAGAGCGCCUGGGCGGCCCGCCGGCAGCAGAGCCCGUGGCUGUUUGACGGGGCCAAGUUCCGCCUCCACUCGGUGGAGCUGCUGGAAGGAGGCCCCUUCCGGUUCCGCCUGGGCCUCACCUGCUAUAAGGACUUCGUGGGCACCAACCUGGCCGAGCGGGCCGGGCGCCUGCGGCAGAGGGGGAGCCGGGACUUGGGGGACAGCCAGGCCUACCUGGCCGACCCCCUGGGGGUGGGCGCCAUCCUGCACACGGCCGACGACCAGUGUGUCUUCCUGCGGCGCAGCCUGUCCGUGGGAGAAGCCCCCGGGAAGGUCGACAUCCCCGGAGGACACCCGGAGCCCCAGGCGGUGGCAGGUUGCACGGCCUCUUCCCAGGGACCCAUCCGCCACCAGGACCUCCCUGGAGAGCUGGUGGUCCAGGAGGUGUUCUCUUCGGUGCUGCGGGAGAUCCAGGACGAGGUGAACCUGCCGGCCUCCACUUUAAGCAGCCCGGCGCUGAUCGGGAUUGCUCAGAACGAGACCAGCGCCGGCCGCUCCAGCGCCGAAUUCUACGUCCGCCAGGUGCAGCCUGUCUUCUGAGCAGGUGAGGCACAACUACACCCUCGGAGGCCCCGAAGCCCAGGAAUCCACCAGUAUCAUCUUUGUGAGCAGACAAGAUGUCUUGACGAUGGAGCCAAGCGCCGGGCUGUGGCAAGAGCUCUGCCCAUCGGCCAAAGGGGCCAUCAGACUCUACAGAGCGGUGAUGGGGGCGAGCCAGUGACGUGCCCAUCGGAGGAGGCGCUCGGAAGACGCCGGCCGUUCUCAGGGGCGAUUCAGAACUUCUUUGACAAAGCUCUCUCCUCCCAAGAGCCACCAGGCCUUUGCCAAAGCAAAGAUAUCGAGCCAGGGGCACGAUGGGGUGGGGUGUGCUAGGCCCCCAACCCCGGAAACCCAACCGGCCAAUUCCCAUCUUCUGGCCAGCUCCGCUUCUCAAAAAAAGGAGUCGCGUUUCGUUCAUUUCGCACUGCCGGCGUCAUGCAUUCGUACCCUGUGUCAGCGUCUGAGCAUCCUCCCUUCGUUCCUGUUAAUAAAGCGUUUUUUUAACCCGC